ACUGAAAAAUUAUCGUAAUCCACUAUAAAAUUAACAUAAACCACUAUUCACUGGCAGAAUUUGAAAACCACUAUCCACUACCAGAAUUUGAAAACCACUAUUCACUGUUUGAAAUCCACUAUUCAAUGUACGCGUUGUCAACCCCCUUCCCUCUAACGUAAUCCACUAUUAAUGUCGCGUGAGAGUUCGAAAACCACUAUUUAGUGUAAGCUCAUCGACAGCCCCUCCUCCUCGCGCCUGUAUCAGGUAUAUUUUGUCUAAAAUCCACUAUAAGUUCAUCAAAAACCACUACAAAAAUAUAGAAAUCCACUACAAAAAAUCACCUUUACAAAAGAGAAAAUCCACUAAAAAUUUGCCUAAAUCCACUACAAAAAUUCCCUUUAGUAAACAACGUCAUCACAGACAAUUGUAGAGGCACCCGAGCAUCACCCAACCUCGUCCGACUUGCUGCCAUCACUCCGCUUGUGGAAGAACAUGAAAAAAAAGAAAAAAAAAAGACAAUGCGUAAAUUUAAUUCAUAAAAAAAAUUCGGUCUCCAAAACAAGAAUUUGAAAUCCACUACAAUCUCAUCAAAAUCCACUACAAAAAAUAUCAAAACUCACUCAAAUAUUAAUCUAAUCCACUAUAAAAAUAAUUUGCAAAAAUAGCAAAACUUAUCAUGAAAAUAGAAAAAAACAACUGCCAAAGGUAACAAAAACAACUAUUUUGCACACCUUCACCGCUACACAAACACUCAUUUUUUUUUCUACACAAGGACAAUAACUUGAAAUCCACUAUAGUCUUAUCAAAAUCCACUAUUAUAAAACACCGAAAGAAUAACAUAUUAUAUCAAUUCAUAGGAGUGAUUAUAUGAGACGUGGUUGAAUAUGCUUCUUCAAUUUCACGAAGAUUCACUACAACAAAAAUCUAAAAAAAAAUGACAAAACCUAAAGUUAAUCCGAAGACAAUUACCAUUGCCCACCUAAUUAAUUCAACAGAUUCAAUAUUUACGCCCAUUUAAUUUAUAAAUUACGGACAUGGUUUUAUUAGAUUGGUAUGUUGAAAUAAAUCCAACAAAAAAUGCCAAAAAUUGAUAGAGGAAAAAAAAAGAAACGAGAAACUAAAAAAUUAGUAAAACCCAAAAAUCCAAUUUGGCGACUGAAUGAUCAAUUACAAACUGCAAAAAAUCUGUCGAAUCUUCAAUUUAAAUUACCAAUAAAUUCAGAAAUUUCAAUAGGCGACGAAGCAUUCACCGGCAAACCAUCGACGGCCGAGAAGGGGUAAGCCAGAUGGCAUAGAUCAGAUGUGUGAGGUGUGGCUGCCGCCUUUGGUGUGGUGGGCAUAUCGACUCCGACUAACUGUUGGCUGGCGAAGAGGAGGAAGAGCCCAAACGUCUUGCCCCGUUUUGGGGGCUGGUAAGGGAGGCGAGGGGGUG
rnacentral:lncRNA from 1 species